rnacentral:tRNA from 1 species
UGGCAAGAUGGCCGAGUGGUUAAGGCGUCACGUGAGUUACCCGUCAUAAUAAUUUACUCUCGUUAUUUCAUACUAACAAAAUCAACAGGUUUAGGAUAUAUAUAAAACAAUUUAUAUAUGAACGAACCGUGAUCCGAAAGGGCGUGGGUUCGAAUCCCACUCUUGUCAC